rnacentral:rRNA from 1 species
UGAAUUGACGGGGCCCGCACAAGCGGUGGAGCAUGUGGUUUAAUUCGAAGCAACGCGAAGAACCUUACCAGGUCUUGACAUCCCCUGACAACCCAAGAGAUUGGGCGUUCCCCUUCGGGGGGACAGGGUGACAGGUGGUGCAUGGUUGUCGUCAGCUCGUGUCGUGAGAUGUUGGGUUAAGUCCCGCAACGAGCGCAACCCUCGCCUCUAGUUGCCAGCAUUCGGUUGGGCACUCUAGAGGGACUGCCGGCGACAAGUCGGAGGAAGUGGGGAUGACGUCAAAUCAUCAUGCCCCUUAUGACCUGGGCUACACACGUGCUACAAUGGGCGGUACAAAGGGCUGCGAACCCGCGAGGGGGAGCGAAUCCCAAAAAGCCGCUCUCAGUUCGGAUUGCAGGCUGCAACUCGCCUGCAUGAAGCCGGAAUCGCUAGUAAUCGCGGAUCAGCAUGCCGCGGUCGAAUACGUUCCCGGGCCUU